rnacentral:rRNA from 1 species
AGAGGGCGUGAAACCGCUUAGAAGGAAACGAGAGGCGCCGCAGUUUGCCUUCGAGAUUCAGUCGGCCGGCUGCCUCGGUAGUCGGUCGGUGCAUUUCUCGUUGGUAUGCACUGAGGGCCGUGCUGGCUGCGCUGUCCGCAGUCCUAAGAGAAGCACACUUGUGUGUCGUUCAGGGGAUUGUGUGCAACGUUGGUGGUACGGUUGACAUAGCGUUCUGCAAAGCUCGGUGUGCGAUGAUCAUUUUGCCUUUUCUGGCUGCUGGUUUCCAACCGGUUGUCGGGUGAUGUGGCUUGUGAUUCGUGCGCUGAGAAGACGCUUGCUCGGUGUGAACGUCGGCCACCCUCCCGACCCGUCUUGAAACACGGACCAAGGAGUCUAACAUGUGCGCGAGUCAGUGGGUCUAUGAAACCUACGGGCGGAAUGAAAGUGAAGGCCAGCUCGGUUGGCUGACACACGACCCUUUCGGCUUGCCGUUUGGAGCAGUGUGGUCCCAUCUCAGAUGCUUGCAUCGAGGUGGAGAUUGAGCGUACAUGUUGGGACCCGAAAGAUGGUGAACUAUGCCUGAACAGGAUGAAGCCAGAGGAAACUCUGGUGGAAGUCCGAAGCGGUUCUGACGUGCAAAUCGA